GAGAUGCGGAAUAGGCGUGUUGCUAGGGGACGGAAAAUGUACGCCGCUGCUAUUAUUCUCGACGUUUGCUGACAACUGGUAACGCAAAACGAGGGUUUUAAUUAAAAAAAAAUAAAUCAAAUUUAUGUUUUCCUUUCGGCCCUCGCAGGUAUUCAGGGAGCCUCACAAGAAAGCGACCCCUCCGCAGCGACGCGGGGAGCGUGACCCGUUUGGCUGCCCUCAAGGGGCCCCGACUCUGCUCUUCAAGGGCGUGCGAGAGGCCGUGAGGCCCCAAGGUCUGCCACGGCUUCCAGUACUGUAUAGUAGAUCAUUACACUUUCCCCGCUCCCCAUUCCGCCACAGGUUUUUUUUUCCCCCUUUCAAAAGAAAAGAUUCCCUGUGGUCAUUGAGCACACUCAUACCCUCCAACAUUUCUCCGAAGAAAAUAGGGAUGUCCUAAGGAAAAGCGAGACAUUCUGAGAUCAAAUCAGAAACCUGUAAAUCAGGGACUGUCCCUAGAAAAUAGGGACACUUGGAGGGUCUGCACAUUCAGCUGUUUUGGGGUCGUUGUUCCCCGAUUUCAUACUUUUGCCAAACCUGAGGUUCCCUGAGCCUACUUAUGCAUGGAUGGGGACGAUGCUCUGCACUUGUAGAAUGAGUUUGCUUUUUAGUACAUAAAAGCAGUGCUUUUUCCUUAAAAAAUGUUUAGGGGUACUCUCAUUUUGACUCAAGAAAAUCACCAUUUUAUAGGAAGAAUAAACACAGGAUAUGGACAAAAGUACAAAGAUUCACAAAAUGUUUAGGGGUAUGCGUCCCCCCAGAAAAAAAGCACUACAUGAAAGAUUCUCAGUCCUCCGCAUGUGGACUUAGGUACACAGUUAUUUAACAGGGAUGAAUGACUUGGGACACCCCAAGCCUUUUAAUAAAUUAUUCUUUAUAUCAAUUAUUUAUCAUCUCAGGAAUAUAUCCUUUUUGUGCCUUUUACUGAUACCAGCAGACACAAUUGCCAACAGUAAUAUCAGAAUAAUGCGAUUUAGCUAAUUCUGUAAAUAAGCAGCAUUUAUGUCAGUAGGAAUUAAGGAUGCCUAAAUUUCUCCAGAUUUAUGGCUGUGAUAUCCAUUGAGGUCAUAAUAUAGCCUGGACCACUAAUAAAAUGUAAUACGUAUAGAAUUAAGACCCAAUCCACAUGCAUCUAUUUAAAAGUAGGAGUUUCACUUACUUCAGUGGAUCUUAUCUUCACAUAAGAUUGCUUAAAACCCUAGGUGGCAACUAAUUUUUAACAGAGCCAGAGGAGCCAGCAAUAUUGGCUCCAUUCAUUGAUUGCUCCAAUAAGUGGAAACACAGCAAAUGCCUAUUUAAUCUUCUUCUGCAGCUUUGGCACGGGGCGGCCAAACUGUGGCCCUCAAGCCACAUGGGGUUGAAAUAAAAAAUUUAAGGUGUUAUAUGUAUAUAAUAAAUGUUCAUAAAUGUACCAAGCAAACAUGUACAUAAAUAUAUAAACCACAUGUCUCAAGCAGCACAGGAAAAAAGCCCUAGAACCAUUUUGACUCCUGAACUGACCAAAUGAUUUCUCUGCAAGGUCGAAGGAAAAUGGAAAUGCCUCCCCAUUGUCUUUUCAUUCACAAAUCCUGUCUGAAGGGUAUGUCUGUGUAUGAAUAGGGUGAGCCUGUGACCUGGCUCAGGAACUAAGUAUUUAUCAUUACAAAAGACUGGCCAGGCUCCCCAGGAAAUCCAAUCAAGUAAGCAUUAGCAGGUAACCUGCCAGACAGGAGAUAAACAACGCACUCAGAUUUCUGUUGUAGACUGCCUUUUCUGUGAUGUAGGUAUGAUGUCUCUGGGGGUGGCCUUGGACUCCAGGGCUGACAAUUUAAAAUUUCUAUAUAAGGGUGGACACACCUUGGUUCUGGGUCCUCCUCCUUCUCCUGCGUGUGAUGGGGGCACCCUGUUGCAACAGUUCAGAUCAGGCUUACUAGCUGCUUUGCUUCUCAAUAUUCUCUGGUUGGCCUCUGUUAUUUUCUCCGACCGAUGGAGAACCUGCAAAGGACUCUUAAGGGCUCUUGUGUCCCCCAUAAGGGAAUAAGGGCAGAUUUACGUUUAUUACAGGGUCAACAGCUUACACUCUUCAGGUCUCUAGCAAGCACAAUCUGUGCCUCCCAGCCUGCUGGGUACAGAGGUAAAGGAAGGAAUGUCAGAAAGAAAGAGAAAGAGAUUGCCCAUUCAAUUUGAUUCUGCUUCUACCCGCUACUGUCUUCAGUCGCACCCACAAUCAACAUGCAGCCCCAACAAAGUACCUGAGACGACAACAAAAAAGGUUGUCCACCACUGAUUCAAUAUUCAGCCUCAGCGACUCAUUCAAAAACGAAACCAAGACUGAGCUCUUAGAAAGUUGAAGUUACAGCCACACCAUACAUUUGAAGCACAUCUUUCCCCAAAGAACCCUGGGAACUGUAGUUUUCUAAGGGCACUGUAGUUCUGUGAGUAGUAAAUUGUGGUUCCCAGGAUUUAUUUAUUUUUGCAGAAAGCCAUUUGCUUUAAAUGUAUGGCGUGGCAAUAAGGGAUGGUAUUCUUGUGAUAGGUAUACUGCUACUCAGUAUUACUCAUCAGGACUGGAGGACAGGCUGGUGAGUGCAAUGUGUCAUCCAUCCUUCAUUUUAUAUGUCUUUUCUCAUUUUGUCCUUCAGUUCUGGUUUGCUGAUAGUCAAGAAAUAAUGCAAGACUAAUCCUUUUAAGACAGCUUAUAACAACAUAUGAUACUUGCACCUUUUUCUCUUGAUGUAUGC